rnacentral:lncRNA from 1 species
AGAUUUUGCAUGUCCACCAGAUCUAAGAGUGCACCAUCACCAACAAAUUUUUAUUUCAAUUUCUUCAUCUUCUUCCUUCAUUCCUUCAUCAUUUCUUCAUCUUCUUUCGCAAUUCCUUCAUCAUUUUUUCAAAACUUCAUCAUUCAAACUCAAAAUUUCAAAACAAAUCCAAAAAUAAAUAUUUUACAAAAUUGCAAAAGCCUUUUAACUUUUAUUAAAACUUGGUAUUGUUCAUUUCUUUGUCUAGCCGCCGCAACGAUCUGAUUGUAGCACACAAUACCUUCUUUCAUUCUUUUCUUCUGUUCAAAUAAAACAAAAUGAAGGGUCUUCAUAUGUAUAAAUCAUUUUUUUUCCCUUUCUCAUUUUUUAUCCCUUUGUUUCAUCUUCUAUCUUCUUGUAAUUGCAACACAAGAUCCGGCAAUUACAAUGCCUCUUCUUUCCCUUUCUUCUUCCAACAACACCUCCCUCUUUAAAUCCAUCCUCACCACCACCACCAUUUUACUCAUUUUUUUGGUUUAAAAUUGAAAAUCUAAAAACCCAG